GGAAGCGCAUAGGGGCCGGUGUCUCUCCUGGACUUCAAAUCCAGUGACGGGCUCUAGUAAAGUUCGUGGUGGGUUCGACUCCCACGCGCUUCC
rnacentral:tRNA from 1 species